UACAGAGGUCCCGAGCGUUGUUCGGAUUCACUGGGCGUAAAGGGUGCGCAGGUGGGUUGGCAAGUUCGAUGUGAAAGCCCCGGGCUUAACCCGGGAACGGCAUUGAAUACUGUCGAUCUGGAGGAUUGGAGGGGGGACUGGAAUUCUUGGUGUAGCAGUGAAAUGCGUAGAUAUCAAGAGGAACACCAGUGGCGAAGGCGAGUCCCUGGACAAUACCUGACACUGAGGCACGAAAGCCGGGGGAGCAAACAGG
rnacentral:rRNA from 1 species